AGUGAACGCUGGCGGUAGGCCUAACACAUGCAAGUCGAACGGCAGCACAGUAAGAGCUUGCUCUUACGGGUGGCGAGUGGCGGACGGGUGAGGAAUACAUCGGAAUCUACUUUUUCGUGGGGGAUAACGUAGGGAAACUUACGCUAAUACCGCAUACGACCUACGGGUGAAAGCAGGGGAUCUUCGGACCUUGCGCGAUUGAAUGAGCCGAUGUCGGAUUAGCUAGUUGGCGGGGUAAAGGCCCACCAAGGCGACGAUCCGUAGCUGGUCUGAGAGGAUGAUCAGCCACACUGGAACUGAGACACGGUCCAGUCUCCUACGGGAGGCAGCAGUGGGGAAUAUUGGACAAUGGGCGCAAGCCUGAUCCAGCCAUACCGCGUGGGUGAAGAAGGCCUUCGGGUUGUAAAGCCCUUUUGUUGGGAAAGAAAAGCAGCAGGUUAAUACCCCGCUGUUCUGACGGUGCCCAAAGAAUAAGCACCGGCUAACUUCGUG
rnacentral:rRNA from 1 species